rnacentral:rRNA from 1 species
CUUUAUUGGAGAGUUUGAUCCUGGCUCAGGACGAACGCUGGCGGCAUGCCUAAUACAUGCAAGUCGAGCGGACUUGAUGAGAAGCUUGCUUCUCGGAUAGUUAGCGGCGGACGGGUGAGUAACACGUAGGCAACCUGCCCUCAAGUUUGGGACAACUACCGGAAACGGUAGCUAAUACCGAAUAGUUGUUUUC